UCAUUCCAAGAAUUAUCAAGAAUAGAGUAUCUUCUUCUAUUCUAUUCUCUCUAUCUCUCUCUACCUUUCUAUCUUUCUCCCUUAUAUCUCUAUUUCUCUAUUCUUCUCUGCUAGGGAUUUCUUAACUCAACAUUUAAAUGCUGAUAUGUGUUUUUCCCCCAUCAUAAUGUUCCCUAAUCUGGAUUAUAUAAAUGUUUUUUUCCCAAGAGAAUGUGCUCAAAAGCUGGAUUGAUACACCUGCCUUUUCCAUUUCUAAAAGUUUUCAUUUGUAGGGAAGGACAAGUGCAAGUUUCUUUCCUGUUUUCUGUUCCCUCUUUCUCCUGCCUAACUCUCUUCCUUUUGGGUCAGGAAGGGAGACAAGACUUGUGUCUUACACCUGACAUUGCUGUAUGAAUUCUAGUUUUUUCAAGGCUUAUGCUUUUGAUACUUCUUUCAGGGGUAUUACCAAAGUAUUUUAGCUCUGAGUGGUCAUUUGCUCAGUUCCACUUACCAGAAGACACCCAAUUCAUUGCAGCA
rnacentral:misc_RNA from 1 species